rnacentral:piRNA from 1 species
UAGAGAAGGCAAUCCAGGUCGAUGCAGAAUU